rnacentral:tRNA from 1 species
GGCUGAGUGGCAGAGUGGUUAUGCAGCGGCCUGCAAAGCCGUAAACAGCGGUUCGAUUCCGCUCUCAGCCUCCA